GCUCACCCCAUUGGGUUAUGGGUCACCCCAUUGGGUUAUGCCUCACCCCAUUGCCUUACGGCUCACCCCAUUGGGUUAUGCCUCACCCCAUUGGGUUAUAGAUCACCCCAUUGCCUUAUGGCUCACCCCAUUGGGUUAUGCCUCACCCCAUUGCCUUACGGCUCACCCCAUUGGGUUAUGCCUCACCCCAUUGCCUUAUGGCUCACCCCAUUUUCUUACGGGUCACCCCAUUGCCUUACGGCUCACCCCAUUGGGUUCUGGCUCACCCCAUUGCCUUACGGCUCACCCCAUUGCCUUACGGCUCACCCCAUUGGGUUAUGCCUCACCCCAUUGCCUUAUGGCUCACCCCAUUUUCUUACGGGUCACCCCAUUGCCUUACAGGUCACCUCAUUGGGUUAUGGUUCACCCCAUUGCUUUAUAGCUCACCCCAUUGGGUUAUGG
ensembl:lncRNA